rnacentral:rRNA from 1 species
UAGGGAAUAUUGGACAAUGGGGGCAACCCUGAUCCAGCCAUGCCGCGUGAGUGAAGAAGGCCCUCGGGUUGUAAAGCUCUUUUGUCCGGAAAGAAAAGCUUCGGGUUAAUACCCCGGGGUUCUGACGGUACCGGAAGAAUAAGCACCGGCUAACUUCGUGCCAGCAGCCGCGGUAAUACGAAGGGUGCAAGCGUUACUCGGAAUUACUGGGCGUAAAGCGUGCGUAGGUGGUUGUUUAAGUCUGAUGUGAAAGCCCUGGGCUCAACCUGGGAAUGGCAUUGGCAACUGGGCAGCUAGAGUGCGGUAGAGGGUAGUGGAAUUCCCUGUGUAGCAGUGAAAUGCGUAGAGAUCGGGAGGAAAAGCUGUGGCGAAGGCGACUGCCUGGACCAGCACUGACACUGAGGCACGAAAGCGUGGGGAGCAAACA